rnacentral:rRNA from 1 species
UUAAGUCCCGCAACGAGCGCAACCCCUACUGCCAGUUGCUAACAGGCAACGCUGAGGACUCUGGCGGAACUGCCGGUGACAAACCGGAGGAAGGUGGGGAUGACGUCAAGUCAUCAUGGCCCUUAUGUCCAGGGCUACACACGUGCUACAAUGGCUGGUACAACGUGACGCGAAACCGCGAGGUUAGAGCGAAGCAUGAAAGCCAGCCGUAGCUCGGAUUGAAGUCUGAAACUCGACUUCAUGAAGUUGGAAUCGCUAGUAAUCGCGCAUCAGCAUGGCGCGGUGAAUACGUUCCCGGGCCUUGUACACACCGCCCGUCACACCAUCCGAGUUGGAGGUACCCGAAGCCGGUAGCGUAACCGCAAGGAGCGCGCUGUCGAAGGUACGUUUAGUGAGGAGGGUGAAGUCGUAACAAGGUAGCCGUACUGGAAAGUGCGGCUGGAUCACCUCCUUU